AACCUGCAAAGAGCACCCUAGAAAGACCUGAAACCUUUGAGUUUUGAUGUCCUGCGAGCAAGUAACCAGCCUCUCACUCCAGUUCCAAGUGGCUACUAUGUAAAAUAAAUUCAAAGCACAUUGUGAAUAGAACCUAGAUGGAAUUAGAAACUGCUGCUGCCCACUGAUGUCAGAAGUUGUACACGAUGUGUGUCCCUGUGAGUGAGUGGCUACCUGGCUCUCAUCCUCCAUGCUCUCUCUGUGUCCCCCACACUCUGGAGAGUCGUGUCUUAGCCAGCUCUGUGUGGAUGUCUUCUUGUCCCUCUGCAUCAGCACGUGGAUUUAGAAGUACCUAGCCGUGAGAGAGUGCUGUCGGUGGUCCCCUCUGGCUUGCGAGGACAGAGUCCUUGCUCUUUUACCUCCAGGACGAGGGUUUUCUUGAUUGUUUCAGAAGCUGCACUUCUGAGGAGCGAGAGUGCAGUCAAGUUAGCAAGUUCAUAAUAAAGUUACAGAUAAAUUAUUUUGUUUUAAAACGCCUAAGAUUUUUCUUUAAGUAUUCUAAGCAGCAGACAUUAAACUAUUUCCUGCUAUAUGUAACCAUACAGCUUAUUCCACAAAAUGCUAUUUAAUGAGACUGAAGGUUGUUUUGGUUUCUUUUUUCUUUUUUUUUUUCUAAGGAAAAAAAUUAUUUCCAUCCAAUAUUUAAAGACUUGAAUUUUAUUUAAACUUGAAAAUGACUUUGCCUUAACUUUUGUAUAAGACAGCUUAGAGCUCACGGAGACCUGCCCCUGGGUUGGCGGGAGUGGAUCGGUUACUCAGUUGCCAUGCGGAUCUCCUGGUGUUGGUUUUGCUGAGAACGCAUACUGUUGUACAAGAACUCCAGUGGUUUUUGUAACAUACCUACAGAUCUUCAACAGUUGAUCUUUUUUCAGAUUGUUGAAAAGUCCUGUAAAUGCAAAUAGUCGCUACUGUGUUAAAUCUGUGCACUUGGGAGUGUGCUCUGCUUGUACAGUGUAAAUAAUCAGAACAUAUGAGAAAGGUACCCUACAGAGAAGAAUCUGAUAAAAAUUAUUGAUAUAUUAUAAAUGUUGCUGUUGAGCUGAUGUAGAUAAACUAAAUGUUGUGGUUUGAGUAUUAUUUUAAUUUGUUAAGGUUUUUCUUUUUCCCCUUAUACUGGUGUGUUGAACUGAUUUUGCCUCUUUGCUGCAAAAGGGAAAUGGAAAGUCUUAUUGAAAGCCUUUGGAUGUUUUCAUACUCUUAAAAAGAAUGUAAGUACAUACUAAUCAUAUGUGAUAUGUGAGGGUUUUGAAGGAGAGUAUAGAGAGCAGAGACUGGCAGGAUCUUCCAAUGAAAGUAAAAAACAGAAUGUGCUAAUUAAAAUUAUACUCUGUUAAGUGAUUUUUCCUGCCAGAGGCAAAGAUGGCCUGAUGCACGUGACCAUUUCCUUCAGAGCAACUGUCAUUCAGUUACAUAGGAGUAUACGCAGUGCUGAUGUUUCAGACGCCUGUGAAAGGAACAUAGGACGAAUUUCCUUAUAGAUGUCAGAUCACUGACAAAAAAAAAAAAAAAAGAAAGAAAGAAAGAAGAAGAAGAAAACAGCUGGCCUCUUGAACCCACACUAGCAGAUACUGUCUAUCUGGAAAGGCGAGCCUGAGGCCUCAGGCCCUUCACAUCACAUCUUUGCUGGAAGAGGGGCCAAAUUAUGGUCAGCACCCCUUACCCCCAAGGGUGCUCUCACAGAGGAGCUUUGAUUUUUAAUGAGAAGUCCUUUCCCCAAGGCUGAGCAUUGCAGCACGAAACCUGUGUGGCAGAGCCAAGCUGUAGGUGCUUGCUGUCUGCUGGCUGGAAGUGUACAGCUCAGUGGCCACACGCAAGGGCAGGUGGGCAGAUGCACGAGGUGGGACACUGAUUACUGCUUAGCCAGUGACAGCCUGGCAUCAGGAACUAAAGCCUUGCUCAGAUGUGAUUUUUAUAAGCACUCGUUUUUCAGGAAGCAAAGGUGAUAUGCCAAAUAGCUGUAUAAUGUCAAAACAGAGACUUCCUGAACACUUUGAGGUUUUCCACUCAGAAAAAAAAGGAAGUUAUCAAAAUAGGAAGCUGUUGAGGGUGCAUGCAGACUCUUGCUAUGUCACAUCCAGCAAGUGUGGUAUGUGGCUUUCAUAAUCUAUUUACGUUUACUCAUUCCUUUCAGUAUCUCAAGGUAUAGAAUCAGAGAUACCACAGUCACAAGGACCUUUUUAACCUGUAAAAUUGUGUGAUGAUGCUUACUUACCAUAUGGAAAUACGGACUAGGAAUCUGGCCCCACCUCACCAGACAGGAAUUUCAAGUGAUUCCUCUCUCAUAGUCAGUGUCAUGAUGUCUCUGUGAACCCCUCCUGUCAUUGCAUCACUGGUUGCCACUAGUGGGUGGCAAAAAAAAAAAGAAAAAAAAAA
rnacentral:lncRNA from 1 species